rnacentral:lncRNA from 1 species
GCGGCACCCGGGACGCGCGGCUCCCCCUGGCUGCGCGGCGGCGGGGGGUGAGGGGGGCGGAGGGAUGGAGGGCGGGAGCCGCGCUGGUGAGGAGGAGCCGCCGCCGCCGCCUCAUCCUGCGGCACCGGCCGGCGGCGUGAGGAGCCCGGCGAGCGCAGGUGGCAGUGUAGAAGCCAGGAACAAAAAUUGGCAGAAAUUAUAUUCUGUGUACGAGAAAAUGAAGAGUGUACUCAUGACUAAGCACAGGAACCUGGAAAACCACAGGCUUUAGUCAGGUGAUCGCUGAUGACUAGUCAGCCCACCAAGAAGGGAGUUCAGCACACAGGUAAGAGAGAAGCCGUAUACUCUUCCAUGCAACUGGGGGAUGCGGGGUGGGGAGGUAAACAUCCCGAACAUUGUUUGCAUAGUUUAAAAAAAAAAAAAAUACUCCUGACUUGCUUGGGUGCAUAACACUGUGAUUGUGUCUUUCAAUGCUGCUACUUUUGCUAUUCAGUCUUGUUCUUGCAUUUUUGUUUUUUAUUGUGUUUUGGUUUUUUUUCCUUUUCUUUAAAUCUGUCUUUAAUUAGAAGCUUUAUUGGAAAAAAAAGACCAAUUGUGUGCUGCUAAAUAUAGUCCUGGGUAUUGCAUGAAUGUUGCAUUCUGUUACUUUUUGAAUAAAAUAACUUUCCAUAAUGCA